GGAGUGGUGACCGAGUGGUUGAAGGUGCUCGCCUGGAAAGCGGGUGUACCCCUAAAAGGGUACCGAGGGUUCGAAUCCCUCCUACUCCG
rnacentral:tRNA from 1 species